rnacentral:rRNA from 1 species
AGUGGCAGACGGGUGAGUAACACGUGGGAACCUUCCUCGUUGUACGGGACAACUCAGGGAAACUUGAGCUAAUACCGUAUACGUCCGAGAGGAGAAAGAUUUAUCGCAAUGAGACGGGCCCGCGUCGGAUUAGCUAGUUGGUGGGGUAACGGCCUACCAAGGCGACGAUCCGUAGCUGAUCUGAGAGGAUGAUCAGCCACACUGGGACUGAGACACGGCCCAGACUCCUACGGGAGGCAGCAGUGGGGAAUCUUGGACAAUGGGCGCAAGCCUGAUCCAGCCAUGCCGCGUGAGUGAAGAAGGCCUUAGGGUUGUAAAGCUCUUUUGCCAGGGACGAUAAUGACGGUACCUGGAGAAUAAGCCCCGGCAAACUUCGUGCCAGCCGCCGCGGUAA